rnacentral:rRNA from 1 species
GUGCCAGCAGCCGCGGUAAUACGUAGGGUGCGAGCGUUGUCCGGAAUUACUGGGCGUAAAGAGCUCGUAGGUGGUUUGUCGCGUCGUCUGUGAAAUUCCGGGGCUUAACUCCGGGCGUGCAGGCGAUACGGGCAUAACUUGAGUACUGUAGGGGUAACUGGAAUUCCUGGUGUAGCGGUGAAAUGCGCAGAUAUCAGGAGGAACACCGAUGGCGAAGGCAGGUUACUGGGCAGUUACUGACGCUGAGGAGCGAAAGCAUGGGUAGCGAACAGGAUUAGAUACCCUGGUAGUCCAUGCCGUAAACGGUGGGCGCUAGGUGUGAGUCCCUUCCACGGGGUUCGUGCCGUAGCUAACGCAUUAAGCGCCCCGCCUGGGGAGUACGGCCGCAAGGCUAAAACUCAAAGGAAUUGACGGGGGCCCGCACAAGCGGCGGAGCAUGUGGAUUAAUUCGAUGCAACGCGAAGAACCUUACCUGGGCUUGACAUACACCAGAUCGCCGUAGAGAUACGGUUUCCCUUUGUGGUUGGUGUACAGGUGGUGCAUGGUUGUCGUCAGCUCGUGUCGUGAGAUGUUGGGUUAAGUCCCGCAACGAGCGCAACCCUUGUCUUAUGUUGCCAGCAAUUUGGUUGGGGACUCGUGAGAGACUGCCGGGGUUAACUCGGAGGAAGGUGGGGAUGACGUCAAAUCAUCAUGCCCCUUAUGUCCAGGGCUUCACACAUGCUACAAUGGUCGGUACAACGCGUUUGCGAGCCUGUGAGGGUGAGCUAAUCGCUGAAAGCCGGUCGUAGUUCGGAUUGGGGUCUGCAACUCGACCCCAUGAAGUCGGAGUCGCUAGUAAUCGCAGAUCAGCAACGCUGCGGUGAAUACGUUCCCGGGCCUUGUACACACCGCCCGUCACGUCAUGAAAGUUGGUAACACCCGAAGCCAGUGGCCUGUUAAAGGGAGCUGUCGAAGGUGGGAUCGGCGAUUGGGACGAAGUCGUAACAAGGUA